GCGUCCGUAGCUCAGCUGGAUAGAGUACCUGGCUACGAACCAGGCGGUCAGAGGUUCGAAUCCUCUCGGNCCUGC
rnacentral:tRNA from 1 species